rnacentral:rRNA from 1 species
CACUGACAUUAGAUACCCCCGUAGUCCCAGCCGUAAACUAUGCGCGUUAGGUGUACUGGUGACCACGAGUCACCGGGGUGCCGAAGGGAAACCGUGGAACGUGCCGCCUGGGAAAUACGGUCGCAAGGCUGAAACUUAAAGGAAUUGGCGGGGAGCACCACAACGGGUGGAGCCUGCGGUUUAAUUGGACUCAACGCCGGAAAUCUCACCGGAUAGGACAGACAUAUGAUAGUCGGGCUGAAGACUCUACUUGAUGAUCUG